ensembl:snoRNA
AGCACUUAAAAUUAUGUAAUAAAUUACAGACAGGUGCAAACAGUAAAUCCUCUUUUGCAACUCAGAACUCAUUGCUGAAUAUGAGAUUUUGGUACCUGUAAGAAGGAAUAUG